rnacentral:sRNA from 1 species
ACACAGCAUCAUCUCUACCCAUAAAAGCUGGCAUUCUGCAAGACUGAGAAGAUGCCCACCUCCAUUCCCAGAGUCCAGGCCUUCAUUAACUCACACGAGAACUACAGAAGCAUCCCCCCGUAGUUCUCCUAUUAGUCACUCCUCCUCAACUGCCUCUAAUCCAUCCAUCCAUCCAUCCAUCCGGCAUGGGUCAUGUAAAGUUACAGCUGAGAAGGCCCUCAGUGGAUUGAUGAUGCCUACUCAUAUUGGGGAGGGCAGUCUGCUUUACUGAAUCCAGCAAUUCAAAUGUCCAGAAACACCCUCAUAGACAUACCUGGAAAUGAUGUUUAGCCAAAUGCCUGGCACCCUGUGACUCAGGGCUGGAUACAGUGAACUGGAGGAAUAGCGGGGAGAAUUGCCAAUACUCAGGAGUCAGGCUUCACAUUGAUCAUGCAGCUAAUAAGAAAGAAGGCAAAGGUACCAAGCCCCUUGCCAUAUGAGAGCUUCCAUCAACUUUGGCAGAAGAUAGAAAGGAAAAUACUACUACUGUUUAGAAACUGCACUGAUAUUUCUUGACUUCUCCUGAAUCGAC